ensembl:lncRNA
GAAGACGUUUAGUUGCAAAAUCGUAUACACUGGAUUAUCUGUUUAUGGUGUUUUAUAAGAUCAUACACCAAUUAGAUGCCUAAAACAACAAAGAUUUCUGUGCAGCGGAAGCGCAUGGCUGUGCAUGCUGACAAGGCCAGUGGGCAGAAAUGUAUCACCCGAUACCCCAGGAACAGUUUAGGACUGCGUGGAACUAGUUGUGAUUGCAGUGAAAUGCAAACCAACGCAAUUCCCAUUAUCGUCCAUCAAGCCAAGCUGCUAAUGCUGGACAAGCUGUGCUCCUCUGCUCCUCCAUCUACUCAUGUCACCUGACGGGACUUAUGUUUGGAAGAGAAAUAAAUAAAUUGUAUUAUUAAGUUCUUGAUUUGUCCAAGCCUCUCGAAAUACG